rnacentral:rRNA from 1 species
UGCAAGUCGAGCGGACAGAUGGGAGCUUGCUCCCUGAUGUUAGCGGCGGACGGGUGAGAAACACGUGGGUAACCUGCCUGUAAGACUGGGAUAACUCCGGGAAACCGGGGCUAAUACCGGAUGGUUGUCUGAACCGCAUGGUUCAGACAUAAAAGGUGGCUUCCGCUACCACUUACAGAUGGACCCGCGGCGCAUUAGCUAGUUGGUGAGGUAACGGCUCACCAAGGCGACGAUGCGUAGCCGACCUGAGAGGGUGAUCGGCCACACUGGGACUGAGACACGGCCCACACUCCUACGGGAGGCAGCAGUAGGGAAUCUUCCGCAAUGGACGAAAGUCUGACGGAGCAACGCCGCGUGAGUGAUGAAGGUUUUCGGAUCAUAAAGCUCUGUUGUUAGGGAAGAACAAGUGCCGUUCAAAUAAGGCGGCACCUUGACGGUACCUAACCAGAAAGCCACGGCUAACUACGUGCCACCAGCCGCGGUAAUACGUAGGUGGCAAGCGUUGUCCGGAAUUAUUGGGCGUAAAGGGCUCGCACGCGGUUUCUUAAGUCUGAUGUGAAGCCCCCGGCUCAACCGGGGAGGGUUUUUGGAAAC